rnacentral:rRNA from 1 species
AGCGAACGCUGGCGGCAGGCCUAAUACAUGCAAGUCGAACGGCUCUUCGGAGCAGUGGCGGACGGGUGAGUAACGCGUGGGAAUGUGCCCUUUGGUACGGAACAACACAGGGAAACUUGGGCUAAUACCGGAUACGUCCGUAAGGAGAAAGAUUUAUCGCUGAAGGAUCGGCCCGCGUCUGAUUAGCUAGUUGGUGGGGUAAUGGCCCACCAAGGCGACGAUCAGUAGCUGGUCUGAGAGGAUGAUCAGCCUCACUGGGACUGAGACACGGCCCAGACUCCUACGGGAGGCAGCAGUGGGGAAUAUUGGACAAUGGGCGCAAGCCUGAUCCAGCCAUGCCGCGUGGGUGAUGAAGGCCCUAGGGUUGUAAAGCCCUUUCGGCGGGGAAGAUAAUGACGGUACCCGCAGAAGAAGCCCCGGCUAAUUCCGUGCCAGCCGCCGCUGUAACAC